GAUGAAGAACGUAGCGAAAUGCGAUAAGUAAUGUGAAUUGCAGAAUUCAGUGAAUCAUCGAAUCUUUGAACGCACAUUGCGCCCGCCAGUAUUCUGGCGGGCAUGCCUGUUCGAGCGUCAUUACAACCCUCAGGCCCCCGGGCCUGGCGUUGGGGAUCGGCGGAGCCCCCCGUGGGCACACGCCGUCCCCCAAAUACAGUGGCGGUCCCGCCGCAGCUUCCAUCGCGUAGUAGCUAACACCUCGCGACAGGAGAGCGGCGCGGCCACGCCGUAAAACACCCAACUCUUCUGAAGUUGACCUCGAAUCAGGUAGGAAUACCCGCUGAACUUAAGCAUAUCAAUAAGCGGAGGA
rnacentral:misc_RNA from 1 species